AUACGUAGGUGACAAGCGUUAUCCGGAUUUACUGGGCGUAAAGGGCGUGUAGGCGGUCUUGCAAGUCAGAAGUGAAAUUCCUGAGCUCAACUCGGGCGCUGCUUCUGAAACUGCAGGACUUGAGUGCUGGAGGGGAUAGCGGAAUUCCUAGUGGAGCGGUAAAAUGCGCAGAUAUUAGGAGGAACACCGGUGGCGAAGGCGGCUAGCUGGAAUGAAUCGGACGCUGAGGCGCGAAAGCGUGGGGAGCAAACAGGAUUAUAUCCCCUGGUAUUCCACGCCGUAAACGAUGAAUACUAGGUGUCGGGUUUCUAUAGAGAUUCGGUGCCGCAGCAAACGCAAUACGGAUUCCACCUGGGGAGUACGUUAGUAAGACUGAAACUCAAACGAAUUGACGGGG
rnacentral:rRNA from 1 species